rnacentral:rRNA from 1 species
AUUGAACGCUGGCGGCAGGCCUAACACAUGCAAGUCGAACGGUAGCACAGAGAGCUUGCUCUCGGGUGACGAGUGGCGGACGGGUGAGUAAUGUCUGGGAAACUGCCCGACGGAGGGGGAUAACUACUGGAAACGGUAGCUAAUACCGCAUAACGUCGCAAGACCAAAGUGGGGGACCUUCGGGCCUCACACCAUCGGAUGUGCCCAGAUGGGAUUAGCUAGUAGGUGGGGUAAUGGCUCACCUAGGCGACGAUCCCUAGCUGGUCUGAGAGGAUGACCAGCCACACUGGAACUGAGACACGGUCCAGACUCCUACGGGAGGCAGUAGUGGGGAAUAUUGCACAAUGGGCGCAAGCCUGAUGCAGCCAUGCCGCGUGUAUGAAGAAGGCCUUCGGGUUGUAAAGUACUUUCAGCGGGGAGGAAGGCGGUGGAGUUAAUAACUUCACCGAUUGACGUUACCCGCAGAAGAAGCACCGGCUAACUCCGUGCCAGCAGCCGCAGUAA